UGUCAGCACUGUCCCUUGGGACCUCUUUUACACUGAGCUACUGCUGUAUCAUGUAGGUACAUGUCCAGCUCAGUAGAACUUUUCCUCCAUGUGGAUUGUAUCAUGUUUUGUAGUGCUUGGGAAAGGUCUGCAAUAAGACUGUCCUUUUUCAUAGGCCAGCAGGCUGCCUUUGUCGUUCACCCUUGUAGUUUCCUUCAUGACUGACCACUUGUCAGAUAAUGUGACACAUUCCAAGUGGCAAUGACUGAAAGUUGGAAGGUUCAUCCAGGCUUCUGGUUGUAAAUCUAUCAGAAAAAACUGUUCUCUUGUAGGAGCUUAGAACCAGUGAGUAGAACAUGCCGGGGCCUGUGUUAUUUGAAUUCUGACAGUGGAGAGAAAAUGAAAGAUUAAAGGGAAUUCUUAUCUUGUACUGCAAUCCACCAUAAAAUGUUCUGUGACUGAGUAGUUCCUACGUCCCAGAGGUAAGACAACUGCUAUUGUUUUGUUGAAUGGAAUGGUUGGGUCUCUCCAUUUCCCUUCUAAACCUUUGCAGUUUUGCAGGAGAUUAAUGUAUUUGCAGAUGCAGAUGUAACAGUUACAGUCUGCUUCCUUGCUAGCCAUCCUUUGGCAUUUGUUUCUGUUGCUGCUGGAGAGAGUUGUAAUUGUUUCAGCUGCUGAGUCUCAGUGGCUGCUGCUGUCGUGAGAUGGCUGGCUGGUACUCAGAAAUGGAUCAUGCACAAAGCAGUCCUUCCAAAGCUCAGGGAUUGUCCUACUAGUAGUCCAAUCAAAUUGAGAGCUAGAACAGUGGGUAGAAUAGUGUAGCAUGGCUUUUUAUUCCAAAAUCAAGUGAACAUUCCAUUGUGAUAUGUUAGCAGUGAUUACUUUGGAUGGAUGGAUACCUUAGAAAGUAAUUGAACAGAAAUUUGCAGUGAUAGACAGGUCUGUGUCUGUGAAGCUUAACUGUACAUAGUAGAAGGAGCCAUGCAGAUUCAUGAAAACUUGACUUGUCAUUCUAGAUGUUACUUGCAUUUGACCAUCAGGCACAUUGGAAAAUGGUCUUUCUUUAUGCUAGAGAGUAGAAAUAGAGGUUAACUAAAAGUAGGGGGCUUCCAAGUAUUGCUUCCAUAGGAAACACCAAUAAGUUGGUGGGUAUAAUGUGAAGUAUUCUACCCUCUCUCUAUUUCAGUAUGAGGUCACUUUAAACACCAUCACUAUGUCUAUAUCAUUUCCCAUUUAUACAUCUCCAAGGAAUUGAACAUGAUAUUGCUUUGCACAUCAGUACAUAUCGCAGCAUUUUUCAGGAAUAUUUUCCAAUAAGAGAGCAAUGGAGAAGGAAUAUGUGAUGUCUACACACAACAGAACCAUUUCAGCUGAAGUGAUGAAUUCAGUCAAGGUGAUUGCAGGAGAGUUCUUGUAACUCAUGAUAAUCAUAUUAUACCAUAUGUAUCCAGUCCCAGACAAAUAUCUCCUGAUGCUGUCUGUGUAUAUGGAUCCUAGAUUACACAUAUCUCCAUGGUUCCAUUCAUGACUUGGGAGGCAAUGCUGUCAAGCAGAUGUCAAUGUCUAAGAUUUUUGGUGACAGUUAAGGAAAGUUACUGGGCUCAGUAUACAAUAUACAGUUUUAAAAGAAUAUGUUCAAUGAAAAGUACAAUGAGAACUAAUGUUAUUGAGAAGGAUUCAAUACAAGUACAGCACUAUAUGAAUUGCUUUAAUAUGAAAAUGCUUACUGAGCUUUGUUUAAUAAGAAUUAUUCUACAAGACCCUUAGUUUGAAAACAUCAAGAUUAAAGUAAUAAUAUCAAGGUUAGAGAUAGCUAUUCAAAUGCAUUUCUAUUGCUCCUAAGAUGUAAAGUGAAGCACAGUAGUCUCAUGGCAGUGCUUAAAUCGGUAAUUAAAGCCACACAAAGACAGCAUAACACCAGAGGCCUCCUUAAGCCAUUGCUUUUCGUUAUUCUGUUGUACCCAAAUUUGUCCCUGUGAGGAUCAUCGUAUACAGGUAGUAGGAUCUUUUCAUGGUGGGUUUGUUAAUAUUUUCUACAUGGAUGACUUUGGAAAUAGCUCUCUUUAGAAUGAACAAUUUUGGUCCCACAUAGUAGUUAGAUAUUGUGAAGACAGAUACACCAUUUGUGGUGAUAUUUUAUUUGUAUGUUAAUAUAUAAAGCAUGCCUGGAGAUCAAGGGUAAAACGGCCAGCCACUUUUAAGUAAACAUAGAAGUGAUGCAGUGGUAGCACACGCUCUUAAUUCGAUCAUGUGACAUAGGGUCUCUGUGUGUUCAAGGACACACUAGGGAACAGCCAAGCAUGGUGACACACGCAUUUAAUCCCAGUACCAACCACAGAGACCUGGUGGUCUGUAGAGACAGGCAUUGACAAGGAAGUGAGGCAGCUGGGCUAAGAGCCAAUGAGAGGGCAAGGCAAUAAAGGCAUGGGUAAGACAGGAAGUAGCUCACUUUUGGUAGGUACAGGACUGGAGAGGUAAAGUUGGUGGCUCUCUCUAUUUCUCUGAUCUCUAAGGCUUUCACCCCUAUAUUUGGCUCUGUGUUUCUUAUUUAAUAAGACCAUUUAGAAAUUCAUCUACAAUUGGUGCUCACAUGGCAAGAAUUCAUUAAAAAAACCCAUUGAUGGCCUUAUAGGCCAGGGUUUACAGGCCUCCUGGCUUGGCCAGAGCUACAUGAGAUCUAGCUAAAUGCAGCUGGAGCUACUUGCAGCCAGAUCUCCUACUCAUGUUGCUGGAGCUGCAAGGUUGCAGAGCUGCAAGCAGCUGGACUGCUUGUAUGUUUACAGAGCCGCUCGUUCAGGCCAGAGCACGUGGCUGGACUUUUUAUUUAGUUUUUAGCUUUUAGGACGUGCUUUCUCUCUCUUUCUCUCUGUCUCUCUGUCUCUAUCUCUGUCUCUCUGACUCUCUGUCUCUCUCUGUCUCUCUCUGUCUCUCUCUGUCUCUCUCUCUCUCUCUCUCUCUCUCUGUCUUUCUGAUUCCCAUUUUGGACUGCCACCAUGCUUGGUAGCUGCCUUGAAAUUCCUUGGACUUCUACUGUUCUAUGCAGACUUGGUAAGUCAAUUAAGAUAUCAGAUAUCUUAAAGGGAGAAACUAGUUAAAAGAGAACAUUUUUUUUCCAUAUUAAAAAAUAGGAAAUAUUUUUCAAUAAAAGGAAAUUAGUCUUUGUUUGAUAAUUCAUUAGACAGUCUGAAAACUGUACAGUUAAAUGAGAGGAUAAUUAAUGCUGAUAGGAUGUAGGAAACAUCAGUUAUAACUAUUAUUUGUUUAAUUAUCCUUAUUUUAGUAUUAAAAGGAUUGGUGAAGUUAAGUGCCAAGACAAAAGCUUGAGGAAAAAAAAGGUUAAAAUGAAUUAUAGAGAAAUUCAGACCCAGGCAGAAGACUUUAAAGGUGAAAUUAUUUCAGGAACGCAUUAUAUGGUUACAGAGAGACAGCCUCUUUUCAAACAAUCAAACUUAAUUCAUCUGGUAGCCUUAUAGGAACUACCUGCUCAACGGCAUGUACAAGCGAAUUGGACUCCAGUGGAAAUGGUAGAUUUAAGGAGAUUUAAAGAAGCUAUAGUAUCCUAUGGAAUGCAUUCUCCAUUUGUAAAGCAAAUGUUAAACUCGUGGUCAACUUGUAAUAGGAUUAUUCCUCAGGACUGGAAAGAGUUGGUAACAGAUGUUCUAGAAUCCAGAGCACAAUUACAGUGGUGACAAUGGCUUAAGGAGGAGGCUAAGGCAAUAGACACCAUGUAGAAUUAGAGGUGUGGACAUUGCCCAGGAUCAAAGACAAUGUUUAUAUGAUAAUCAAACCUUAAUUCUAUGCCGCAUGGCAGCCAUGAAUGCAUGGGACAGAAUUGAGGAAGCAGGAAAAAAAUUGAAAAUUUAAGUAAAGUGGUUCAAAGUCAUUAUAAUUCAGUUCAAAAAUGGAAUUGUAUGAUAUUCUUUGAUAUUAACAGAUUUUUCAGAACCUCUCAACAUAGUUACAAACUCUCAGUAUGCUGAAAGAGUGGUAUUAUAUAUUGAGACUGCAGAAUUUAUCCCUGAUGAGUCAGAAUUAACUUCACUAUUUAUUCAGUUACAAGAUAUAAUCAGGAAUAGGAGCAUCCCUUAUAUAUAACUCACAUCUGAUCCCAUAUGGGUCUGCCAGGCCCUCUAGCACAAGGUAAUGACAAGAUUGAUAAAUUAUUGAUAGGAAAUGUGAUGGAGGCUUCAGAAUUUCAUAAAAAACAUCAUGUCAAUAGUAAAGAUUUAAAAAAGAAUUUUUCUAUAACGUGGCAACAAGCUAAGGAUAUUGUAAGGAAAUGUCCUAAUUUUUCCUUUUAUAACCAGACUCUGCUACCAGCUAGAUGUAACUCAAAGGGUACUCAGAGGAAUGAAAUCUGGCAGAUGGAUGUGUUUCACUUUGCAGAAUUUGGAAAACUAAAAUAUGUACACUAUACCAUUGAUACUUAUUCAGGAUUUCAGUGCAGAAAUGCUUUUGGUUCUGAAAAUGCUGAACCUGUAAUCAUGCAUUUGCUAGAAGUUAUGGCCAUCAUGGGUAUACCUGCACAAAUUAAAACUUACCAUGUUCCAGCAUAUGUCUCUCGUAAAACGAAAAUUUUUGCUUAUUACAAUAUAAGCAUAUUACAGUUAUACCACAUAAUCCUACAGGCCAAGCAAUUUUAGAAAGAUCAAAUAGAACUCUAAAGGAUAUGCUAAAUAAACAGAAAGGGGUAACAACCCCCCCCCAGAAAUAGAUUACAUAAUGCUCUAUUAACUUUGAAUUUUCUCAGAGCUAAUGAGAAAGGGACAAUAGCUGCAGAGAGACAUUGGAUAAUAGAUAAAACUGCAGAAUUAAAUCGGCCUAUAUACUUUAAGGAUGUGCUGACCUCAGAAUGGAAACCAGGAUAUGUGUUAUGUUGGGAACGAGGUUUUGCUUUUGUUUCUAUAGGAAAAGAUAAGCUGUGGAUACCAUCAAAAUUGAUAUAGGUUCAAUUUGAACAACAGAGACCCCUUAAUUAGAAGAGGUGAUAGUUCAUCAACCAGCAUGACCAUCCAAUUUAAACUAACUUAUACCACUAACAAAUGCCUUUUUAUUUAAUCAGAUAUAACUUGCCAAAAGGGAACCUCUCCAAAGUUAGGUUUGGGGAAGCGUUUUUUGUUUUUGUCUUUCAGGAGAAUGAAGGCCAAGGAAUCUGAAGAACACUGGACAAAUGAGACAUUUGAAGAAAAAGGACAAAUCAUCUAGAAAAAUGUCCCAAGAAAAAGAGUAAUUUGGCCUGUUGGUGUAUCACAUGUAAAAUUUCUUAAGUCUUCCUAAAUAUUUGUUUCUGCUCUUCUCUACAGACCACUAACACAAAUGGUCUUUUUGUAGUCCUAGUUCAAUUAACAAUUAAAGCUGGCUUUGAAGUUGGAGAAUGGCUCUUUCCUUCUCUAAACCCACGUAUGUUGUUAAAAGGAAAAUGGAAAAUCUCUGUGUCAUGUCAGAUGAAAGAGCCAUCUUCUGAUAUAGGACAGAAGAAAACCAAAAAAUUAAGGAACUGGUUUUUUUGCCACUAAUCUCAAUUCUUUGGUUCUAUUUUGAGUCUUUAAACUUUUCUUAAGUUAUGAAUUUUAUAUCAAAAUUUACAAGAUUUAUAUAUGUAUAUAACUUUGUCAUGAUAUUAUUGGUCAUAUAGAGUACUAACUAAUUCUAGAAAAAGGCUUAAUUUAGCUGCCUAUACAUGUUUUUGUGUCGGAGUCUCUAUCAGUUUUCUGCAGGGAAUCAUGACCAGGCCUAACCUCGAAUUUGAAGUCUCCAGAAAGAUGAUGGAGUCCCAUAACAAUGAUUCCAUAUGGACUAUAAUAAUACCACUAAGCUGACAAACAUCACCCAAAGAUCAUCUUUGGACUACAAACUGCUCAGAACAAUUUUGAGAUGGCUAGCUGAGAUGAUCCUGUUUCACAGACUACUUGAACAAGGACUUGAGAUAAGCCCUGCACUUUGGCAUUAUACCAAGACUGGACAACAAAUGAUAUAGCUACCUCUCCUGGAACUUGACAUUUAACCCAAAAAUUUUCUUUUCAGAAUCUUCUAAAGAUGCUAUCACCAACAAACUGCAGAAAGCAACUUUUCAGAGCACUAUGUCCACAUUCCCAAGAGGUGGGGCGGGUGGUUUUUGGUUUUUCAAUGGGUUUUGGGUUUGGGGUAGUUGUCAUUGUUUAGGAGGCUUGGUUACAAGUUGUUGUAGUUAAUGGUCAGGAAAAGGGCUAAACAAAGGAGAUUAGAUUUAAGAUUCUUGUUUGGAAAAAAAGAUGAUAUAGAUAAGACGUAGAUUAUUGAAUCUACUCUGAAAAAAAAGAUAUAGAAAUGAUAGAAUAAAAGGUACAUUAUUGAAUCUACUCUGAAAAAAACGAGAGGAUAUAGAUAUGAUACAGUUAAAAAAGUAGAUUAUUGAAUCUAUUUUUAAAAGAAAACUACUAGUUUUAAGUACUUUACAUUGGAUUGAAUUUUUAUAUAUUGUACACAAAUUAUAUAUAUUGAGAUUGAUAUUGUUAGAAAAUGCUGUAUGUAUAUUGCUAAUCUUGUUCAGGAUAUUGUACCUAUACAGUUCAUUUAACAAUUUGCUAAUCCUUGAAAGUUAUUAUUAUCAACACUUAGGAUAUAGAGAAAUGAGAAUUAGUAGUUAGUCAUUACAAUUGAACUUGUCAUCAUAUUAGGUGUUUUCAAGGUUAAGCAGAGAUAUAUUUUAGAUAGACAGGUCAUCUUCAAAUCCUUCAGAGAUCUACAGAAUAUGGCAUUUAAAUGUUUUAAUAACUUACAAUUUUUUUAUGAUUAUGAGACUUGUUGGCUUCUGGCAGCACCAAUCUACUUCAGAGAAGAUAUGGGCAUUGAAGAAACUGCAUAUGGAGUUAACUUUCAUUAUGGCAAAAGUUAGCCACUGGGCAACAAAGUGCCCUCAUAUCAACUGCUGAGAGUAUGCUAUCCAAAAUGGACCAAGAGGACACAAAGCAAAGGACUACCAAUCCUUGCCAAAACAAGUGUGGUUGUGGCUUUAGCAACAGGCAUCCUCUGAUGCCAAGACUAUAUGGCACCAUCGCUAAAGUGGCCUUUGCAAUCUGGAAAAGGUACAGGGCCCCUUUCUAAGAAGGCAGCUCAACAGGCAAUGGACCGAUGUCUUCUGGUAUGCAGUGGAACAGUAGCUGAAACAGUUAUUCUUGAAAGAGUAACUAGGCUGAUAGAGUCUAACCUCUUAAUGGUAGACUGGCAUUUGAUAAAGAAGAUGAAGCCACCCACAAGCCGAGAAGAAUGGGAUGCAGAGAAGAACAGGAUGCCGAAAUGAAGCCAUCCACAAGCUGAGAAGAAUAAGCAGAUGAAUUCCAGAAACACCAGCAAUUUCCAGGAUUUAAAAUCCUGAAUCAUGACAGGACACUGGUAGAAUUCAGUUUUAUCUGGUACAUGGAAUACUCAUGCCGAAUGUGAGGUUGAGCUGUAGGCCUUGUGUAUAUCCUACAUCACAAAUGAGUCUGUCAGAUAUGCUAAGCCUGUAGGCUGAAGAUGAUGCCCCAACAUUGCAGAAAACCUCAGGUGACUGUCCAGACAGCUGGCUGUUUCUGUCAACUCACAAUUUUCCAGAAGUUGCUUGUUUGCAAUUCCUGUUUUACUCGGUAAUAUUAUUUCCUUCUUGGUCUCUGAGGGAGUUGAAGAUUUGAUAGUCAUAGUUACAUUUUUCCUUGUUAAGAAAUUUCAAAAAAAAAAAAAGAAACUCACUAAGAGGUGAAAAGUAUAUAAGUUCUAAGGAAUAUUACAGGACAAUUUUCUGUUGGUAAUACAAGUUCAGGUAGAAAGUGAAUUAGGUACAUUUUGAACUCACAAAAAAUAGAGUAGAUAAUGUAAUAUUUUCUCUAAAUUUGUCAAAUUGCUGAUGUAUUUAUUGCUUGUAUAUAUUGUAUAUAGUUGUACUUAUUGUAUAUAGUUUUUCUUAUAUUAUUUAUAAAUUUUAUUCUUAAUAAAUAAAGCACUUUUAAGUAAACACAGCAA